GAGAUUGUGAAGCAGCUCUAUGUGGAGGAGUGAACUGCAUUAUAGAUCCCCGCACCUUCGUAUCUGUGAGUAAAGCAAAAAUGAUCUCUCCUGAGGGGAUGAGAAAGCCCUUUUCUAAAAAGGCAAAUGGUUAUGGAAGGGGAGAAGGCUGUGGUGUUCUUUUACUGAAGCCACUAAAAAAGGCACUAGAAGACCACAACAGAAUAUGUGGAGUUAUAAACAUCAGUGCAGUAAAUCAGAAUGGCAGAUCUGUGACUCCAAUCACAAGACCAUCUCAGACAGCACAGAAAAAGUUACUACGCAGCAUUAAUCUGACUCAUAUUGACCCAUCAGUUGUGCAGUAUGUUGAAGCACAUGGCACAGGAACUCCUGCUGGAGAUCCUACAGAAGCAGAGAGCCUCGGUAGCAUCAUUGGUAAUAACAGAUCUCCUAAAAUGCCUGUUUUAAAGAUUGGUUCUGUUAAAGGGAAUGUUGGCCAUGCUGAAUCAGCUUCUGGGGCAGCUGCGUUAAUUGAAGUUCUUUUAAUGAUGCACCAUGAAACAAUUGUUCCAUCUUUGCACUACAGAGAGGAUAUUAGUAGCAUAAAUACAGAGAAAUUAAAUCUAUCAAUUCCAACGAAGAGUUGAGAGAAUUUGGAAGAGUAGCUGGUGUCAACUGUUUUGGAUUUGGGGAAACCAAUGCCCACGUUGUUGUCAGACAGUUCAAGCAAACACAGGUUCUUCCCUCUUUUAAACGACCGAUUGAAUUAUUUGUACUCUCUGUGGCUUCAAGCAAAUCCCUCAACUUGACAAUGGAAGACACAGCUGAGCAGUUAAACAUAAGCAACUCAGUAACUCUCCCAAAUUUGGCCUAUACAUCUGCCUGUAGAAGAAGCCAUGUAAAUUACAAGUACAGAAAAGCAUUUGUUACAAACUCUCUUCGACAUUUACAGCAACAAGUUGCAUUAGCAGCUAAAACAGAAAUAAUGCCGUCAAAGACUACUCCACAACUAGUUUUUGUGUUCUGUGCUAAUGGAGUAAAUUUCAAAGGGAUCUGCAAGACGUUAUUGAGUUCAGAGGCAGUAUUCAGAGACAAAUGUAAAGAAAUAGAAAUGUUAUUGCAGCAAUAUGUACCCAUCAGCCUCCUGGAAUUAACAGAAAGUGAAUGUGAGGAUUUCUCAAGGCCAGAAAUUGCUCAACCGUUGCUUUUUACUCUCCAAGUUGCCUUAACUUCUCUUCUGAAACACUGGGGAAUUAAGCCGAUGGCUGCUGUUGGCCAUUCAGUUGGAGAAGUUGCUGCUGCCCAUUGUGGAGGGUUUCUUUCCCUUGAAGAUGCUGUCAAAGUACUUUAUCACAGGAGUAGGUUACAGGCGAAGGUUACCGGAGGCAGAAUGUUGGUAGCUGGUAACAUCCCUGUUCAAGAAGUACCAGAAGCCCUCGGCCCGUAUUCUGGGAAGGUGUGCAUUGCAGCUUUUAACAGCCCUUCUUCCUGUACUUUGUCUGGAGAUGCAGACUCUGUGAGUGCCCUUCAGAAAAAACUAGCUCAACUGUUCAGCAAGAGAGACAUAUUUUUUCAUGUUUUACAUGUCCCAGCUGCAUACCAGAGCCACAUGAUGGAUCCAAUAGUAAAGGAGAUGGUGGGUGGAGCAUUUACAGUAUUUGGAAAAACAGAAACCGGAAAUUGAAAUGAUUUCAAAACUGACUGGGAAGGCUGCUUCCGCAGAUGAUUUCACUACAAGCAAGUUCUGGGCCCGACAUGCUUGAGAUCCUGUUGCUUUCACACAGGCCAUAGUGACUUCAGCUAGAUAAAAAGAAAAUAUUGUGUUUGUUGAAAUAGGCCCUGAAAGAGCAUUACAGAGGUUUAUAAUGGAAAUGCUAGGCAAACAAAUUAGAGUUUUGUCCUCCUUGCAAACUGAUAAAGAAUAUCAGACGCUUCUUACUCUUGCAGGAAAUCUGUUUGAACUGGGAUAUAAUCCUGACUGGCAUCACAUUUAUGAAGGGUAUCAAAGUAUUCCAGCAGCCUUUCCCAGGUAUCAGUUUGAUCGUAAGAAGCUAAUGACCUAUUUGGACAUCCAUCAACAAGCAAAUCGAAGAGCUGUAAACUCAAAUUAUCCUUUGAUUUACAGUUUGAACAAAGACAACACCGAAUUCAAUUGCCCAGAGUCCCAGGCAUUAGCACCCUAUUUAUAUGAGCACAAGAACAAUGGUGUUGCUUUAGUUCCAGGUGCAUUUUUUAUAGAGCUCGCUUUGGCGUCUGUGAUGAAUAGCUCGAGGCCGAAAGUGCCUUUAAGUACUUGUCAGAUUAGUAUCAAUUUUUUGGCACCAUGUGUUUUAAUCCAGAAGUCCCAUGUUUUAAAGAUAGAAUUGGCAUCACAAAAAACAGUGACAAUUUCAAAAUACUGUCAUCCUCAGCUGCAGUUUAUGCAUCAGGACAAAUUACAAAGAAGAGUGAAGCUGCAGUGGAAGAAAACAGCAUCUCCUGUCAAGACAUCUUUCAAUCAGUAGUUACAGCAGAUAAGGUUUAUGAAACACUGUCUCAGGUUGGAUUUCAAUACGGUUCUAUGUUCAGACAGUUAAGGGAUGUAUUUUACUGUGAAGAGCUAAAGGAAGCUAUAACCAGCAUAAAGGUUAACAAAGCGACCAGAGAAGAGAUGUCUGACUAUUGUGUCCAUCCAGAGCUGUUAGACUGUUUUCUACAGAUGACCGCUGUCAUGACGACAAUAACUUUCCAAACCAGAGCAGGCUUUCCUUCUGGCAUAGGCAGCCUUGUAGUUUUCAGACCUUUGGAGGAGGAAAUGGUGAUAUAUUUGAAAACAAGCAAAUCGACUAGGAACUAUUUAGAGGUCUGUGGAUGCUUUACAGAUAAACGUGGCUCUGUUUUGGCAGAACUGAAACGUGUUGGGAUCACUUUUAUGAAGCCAACAUCCCCCAGAGACAAUGACUUGCUGUUUGAAAAUAAGUGGAAAGAAAUUUUCCGCCCUCGGACCAUAGGAAGUUUAGGGGAAGCACCCAGAGUCGUCAUGUUUGCUGACAAACUUGGAAUAGCUCAGCAACUCAAAAAAUACUUACACAAUGAGUCACGAUACAUUAUGUAUGAAGAUUGGGAGACGUUGCUGGAAGCCAAGAGUUCAGAAAUGACUACACAACAUCAAAUGAAAAGGGAGCUUGAAGACUACCAGGAAGUUUUGUUCAUGUGGGGAAUUCAAAGAAGUUAAAUGAUGAGUUCCCAAGCAAAGUGGUGGCACAUUUAGCUAAGUGUUGUGAGACUUAUCGCCAAAUUAUUGUGGCAUUAAGAGAGAAAAAAUCCAGUUGUUCAGUUAGAGUAAUCACGUAUAGAACAACAGAUAGAAAUGUAGAUCAUCUUAACCCGGGGUUUGCUUUGUGUGACAUGAUGAGAACCUGCAUAAUAGAAGUUUCAGGAAUCACAUUUCAGAUGAUUGACAUCAGCUCUUCGAGUACACUGGACAUCUCAGCCUUAGCGGAUGUUAUUGUAAAAUAUAAAGGACAGGAUCAUCCAGAAAUUUGGAUCAAUCAAGGAAGAAUUUACGCUUCAGAAAUCAGACGCACACCAUUUAAGAAUGUGGAUUACAGUCAACCUUCAAAGUCUCCUCAGAACUCAGAGAUAUUCACUUUAUACACUACAGAUCCUUACCAAGAGAAAGAUUUAUCUGUUGAAAUAGCCAGUAAUAUCAUUACUCAGCUUGAAAAUCACAGUGUUGAAGUUCAAAUGGAUAAAAUAUGCAUCCAUUCAGAAGACUAUUUUCCUGUUAGAGUUUCAAGCUGUAACUUUGGGAAUACGUUGUAUUGGAAUUCAUGUACAAUAGACAAACAUAAGCUUUUAGCUCUGGACUUCAGUGGCAAAAUAACUGCAAUAGGCUGUGAAUGACAAAAGUUAAGGUGGGAGAUCAAGUUGUUUCAUGUUAUCCUGUUGUUGCAUCAUCAAGAGUCAUGGUUCCAGGGACAGUUUGUUUCAACAGGAAGAAGUUUCCAUGCUUUAGAAAUGUUCCUUGUGUGUCAUACUUUAUGGUAGCAUGGGAAAUUGUAAAUCAAACAUUACCAAAGGUGAAACACAGUGGACUUUAGGUAUUAUUUCUACUGAACCAGAAUCAGUUUUGUGCAAAGUGCUUACUCUGACAGCACAGGAAACGGGCUGGAGAAAAGUACUUGCAACACCUACAUCUGAUCAGUGACAACGUGUAAAUCAGUGCAAUGCCCUUGUUUAUCUGCCUCCAGUAGAUGGAAUGUCUAAGGAAUUUCUAGUCCAUCUUUCCCACCUCCGAGACCUUGUGAUAGUACAUGGUAAUCAACAGUCUGAAUGUUUUCGAUACCUACGUGGAAGUGAUCAAGGAAAUAUCUGUGUUCAUGUACUGAAACUUAUCAGUAUCUUUCAGAAAGCAUCUCUAAAACAAUGGCUAAGGGCUGUCCAUGGAUGGAUCAAAUCAAUGCAAAUGAAACAAUUAAAAAACCUGUCAUAUUCUGUUUUUCAGCAGAAUGAGAACUUUGAAAGUACAAACACUGCAGUGACCUCCUAUUUUACCUGCAAAUCUAUCCCACUUGCUGUGCUGAAAGGGGAUGUGGAGACCAACAGGAUUUCAGACAUACCAGUAUAUGAAGCACAGAAGAAAAUGUUUAAGCAGAAUGCAGUUUACAUAGUGGCAGGGGGACUUACUGGGCUUGGAUUUGAAACUGUGAAAUUUAUAGCCCAGAAUGGAGGGGGCUCUAUUGCGAUACUUUCAAGGAGCAAUCCAAGCAGUGAGAAGCAAGAAGAAAUCAAGGCUUUGCAAAAUCAGUAUGAAGGGAGCAGAAUAGUCAGUUUGCAAUGUAAUGUUAUUUCUCACUUACAGGUUGAGAAAGCUAUCAGUUCAAUUGACACAAUCUUUCCAAAGAGUCCAAUCAAAGGUGUAUUCCAUAGUGCCGUGGUUUUGAUGAUGGAUGUCUUGAAGCUCUGAACCUGUCUCACUUUGAGAAAGUGUUAAGUCCCAAAGUUGCAGGGGCAAUAAAUCUCCACCGGGCUACCAUAGGGCAGGAACUUGACUAUUUUGUGUGUUACUCCUCUGUUACUUCAUUUAUUGGAAACUCGACACAAGCAAACUAUGCUGCUGCUAAUUCUUUUCUGGAUGUUUUCUGCCACUACAGGAGGAACUGUGGACUUUCAGGACAAUCCAUUAAUUGGGGUGCCUUGAAUCUUGGAUUAUUGCUAAAUCAAAAUCACAUUCAAAAUAUUGUGGAAUUCAAAGGCAUAGAUAUUCUGCAGAUACAUGAAAUGUCUGAAUAUCUUAAAAAAAGCUUAAUUCUGAAUAAUCCUCAGCAAGAUGUAGUAAAAUUAAAUUUUGGAACUCUAAGCAGUCAUGUUCUUUCUCGAAUAGUAUCACUCAAAAGUCGCUUCUAUACACUAAUUUCAGAAGAACUGGGCAGUGAGCUUGACCUAGCUGAACAAAGUACAUCUCAGAAUAUAUAUCACCUCACUGGUGAGUUAUCUCAGUAAUACAAACUUGAGUGAUCUUACAAUGAACACAUCACUUGCAUCACUGGGCAUGGACGCUAUGUUAGCCAUGACACUACAGAAUCAUAUCUUUCAUCAGAGAAGGGUGAAAUCCCCCUUGUGAAACUACUUGAUCCUCACACAACUAUGUCGAGUUUAGUACUAUUUUUAGAGGAAAGUUCCAAAGAAAGUGGGAUACUUGAGAAAACAACUCAUGUAGCAGAAAAUAUCUAUUAUGGAAACUGAUGAUAGAAACCGAUUCAUGUAGCAAUUUGGUAAUUCUGAAGUUACUUGGACCCUAGUGAUAUUU